AUUGGUAUACAUUAACCUCCAUAGCUAUAGUCGUACAUGCUUUCAUAUCUCUCAUGAGAAAGAUGCAUGCCCUCAACUAUCUGUGAACAAAUACAAGCAAAGAGGCUUGACAGAGAUAACUAAACAGACGGUUUGUCAAACGGGAAGAAUAUCCACGAAUUGUUGACAACUCAAGAAGGAAAGUCAAUGUGGAUAACAAAUAAAACUCGAUGCAGCUAAAAUACGUGAAAACAAAAUCUACUUUUUCAAACGACUUCACUUCUGUUCUCCAAACAAGGAUGAGUUCUAAGGAAGUGUACCGCAAACGACAGUAUGAAGACUCCUUUGCACUGAGAAAAAUGAGAGAUUAGGCAAAGCUUGGGGGUGAGGCUUCUGCACGAGAGGAGAUUGGUACUGGCAAUCCACUGGAUUGAGGGAGAGCUGUAAUCUUUCUCCAGUCUUUUGACACUCACACAAAUGUUCCUGAUCUUAAUCUUUAGACACCGAAGCAGAGUACAAUCUCAGUUGAGCAUCGCUAUAAAAGAGAUUUUUUCCUGAAUCUAGAGAAAAAAAUCAUCAACAUACCAAAAGAUGAAAGAAAAAUUACUAGAUCGGGAGGAGGUUUCAGAGACCGAAAGUAAAGCAAAGAAAAUCUGAAAUUUUGAGAAUCUCAAGCCCAUGAUUGGUAAAAUGCAAUCCUAACUCAACCUACAAUUACUGCUCUAAUUGAGGGCACAUAGAAGAGUUAGUAUGAACAAACCUUUAAAGAGGAAGGAGAGGAGCUCAAAUGCAAUACAUGCCUCACGAUGCAGAAACAUCCAAAAGCGAGUGAAGGACAUGAUUCGGGGAAAACAUUAGGAAAGACAUUCUUCGAUGAUGAAGAAGACUGGACGAGAACUUAGGGUCUCUUGAAAUAGGAGGAGGAUUGUCUCUUGGACUUGGAGGAGAAUGAUAUCGUAGAUGAAGACUCUAGUGAUGAGGAGUUUAUGUAGGAGAAUGAUUAAGAGGAUCAAUUCUAAACUUGGAAUUAAGAUUAAC
rnacentral:lncRNA from 1 species